rnacentral:rRNA from 1 species
AGUGAACGCUGGCGGUAGGCCUAACACAUGCAAGUCGAACGGCAGCACAGUAAGAGCUUGCUCUUACGGGUGGCGAGUGGCGGACGGGUGAGGAAUACAUCGGAAUCUACUUUUUCGUGGGGGAUAACGUAGGGAAACUUACGCUAAUACCGCAUACGACCUACGGGUGAAAGCAAGGGAUCUUCGGACCUUGCGCGAUUGAAUGAGCCGAUGUCGGAUUAGCUAGUUGGCGGGGUAAAGGCCCACCAAGGCGACGAUCCGUAGCUGGUCUGAGAGGAUGAUCAGCCACACUGGAACUGAGACACGGUCCAGACUCCUACGGGAGGCAGCAGUGGGGAAUAUUGGACAAUGGGCGCAAGCCUGAUCCAGCCAUACCGCGUGGGUGAAGAAGGCCUUCGGGUUGUAAAGCCCUUUUGUUGGGAAAGAAAAGCAGCAGGUUAAUACCCCGCUGUUCUGACGGUACCCAAAGAAUAAGCACCGGCUAACUUCGU